rnacentral:rRNA from 1 species
CGGAGGAAAAGAAACUAACAAGGAUUCCCCUAGUAACUGCGAGUGRAGCGGGAAAAGCUCAAAUUUGAAAUCUGGCUGCUUUGCAGUCCGAGUUGUAAUUUCGAGAAGUGUUACCCGUGCUGGACCGUGCAUAAGUCUUCUGGAAAGGAGCAUCAUAGAGGGUGAAAAUCCCGUCUUGGGUACGGACUCCCAGUGCAUUGUGGUAUGCUCUCAACGAGUCGAGUUGUUUGGGAAUGCAGCUCAAAAUGGGUGGUAAAUUCCAUCUAAAGCUAAAUAUUGGUGUGAGACCGAUAGCGAACAAGUACCGUGAGGGAAAGAUGAAAAGAACUUUGGAAAGAGAGUUAAACAGUACGUGAAAUUGUCAAUAGGGAAACGCUUGAAGUCAGUCGCGUUGCUCUGGGAUCAGCCUUCCUUUUGGUUGGUGUAUUUCCUGAGUGAUGGGUCAGCAUCAGUUUUGACUGCUGGAAAAAGGCUUAGGGAAUGUGGCUCCUUCGGGAGUGUUAUAGCCCUUUGUCAUAUACAGUGGUUGGGACUGAGGAACUCAGCACGCCGCAAGGCAGGUCUUCGGACACUUUCGUGCUUAGGAUGCUGGCAUAAU